rnacentral:misc_RNA from 1 species
GAUGAAGAACGUAGCGAAAUGCGAUAAGUAAUGUGAAUUGCAGAAUUCAGUGAAUCAUCGAAUCUUUGAACGCACAUUGCGCCCUCUGGUAUUCCGGGGGGCAUGCCUGUUCGAGCGUCAUUAUAACCACUCAAGCUCUCGCUUGGUAUUGGGGUUCGCGGUUCCGCGGCCCCUAAAAUCAGUGGCGGUGCCUGUCGGCUCUACGCGUAGUAAUACUCCUCGCGAUUGAGUCCAGUAGGUCUACUUGCCAGCAACCCCCAAUUUUUACAGGUUGACCUCGGAUCAGGUAGGGAUACCCGCUGAACUUAAGCAUAUCAAUAAGCGGAGGA